GACAUAGGUGGCGAACGUUAUCCGGAAUUAUUGGGCGUAAAGGAUGCGUAGAUGGCAGAAUAAGUUACUGGUCGAUGCCAAACUCAAUUUGACGGAAGCAGGUAAUACUGUUCUGCUAGAGGGCAGGAGAAGUUGAUGGAAUUCUGUGUGGAGCGGUGAAAUGCGUUGAUCUACAGAGGAACACCAAAAAAGGCGAAGGCAGUCAACUAUUCUGUUCCUGACAUUGAGGCAUGAAAGCGUGGGGAGCAAACCGG
rnacentral:rRNA from 1 species